rnacentral:rRNA from 1 species
UCUCCACCCGAGACUCAGUGAAAUUGAACUCGCUGUGAAGAUGCAGUGUACCCGCGGCAAGACGGAAAGACCCCGUGAACCUUUACUAUAGCUUGACACUGAACAUUGAGCCUUGAUGUGUAGGAUAGGUGGGAGGCUUUGAAGUGUGGACGCCAGUCUGCAUGGAGCCGACCUUGAAAUACCACCCUUUAAUGUUUGAUGUUCUAACGUUGACCCGUAAUCCGGGUUGCGGACAGUGUCUGGUGGGUAGUUUGACUGGGGCGGUCUCCUCCUAAAGAGUAACGGAGGAGCACGAAGGUUGGCUAAUCCUGGUCGGACAUCA